ACCUUACUCUUUGGGGAGUAGCCUGCUUUCUCGUUUUCAUAAAAAUACAUAAAACAGAAAGCUCAUAUAUCAACAUAAUUGAUGCAAAAUCAUCAUGGUAUAUGAGACAAGCCUGAGCAGCUUGUU
rnacentral:sRNA from 2 species